rnacentral:rRNA from 1 species
GACGGGGGGGGCAAGCGUUCUUCGGAAUGACUGGGCGUAAAGGGCACGCAGGCGGUGAAUCGGGUUGAAAGUGAAAGUCGCCAAAAAGUGGCGGAAUGCUCUCGAAACCAAUUCACUUGAGUGAGACAGAGGAGAGUGGAAUUUCGUGUGUAGGGGUGAAAUCCGUAAAUAUACGAAGGAACGCCAAAAGCGAAGGCAGCUCUCUGGGUCCCUACCGACGCUGGGGUGCGAAAGCAUGGGGAGCGAACAGG